rnacentral:rRNA from 1 species
GUGAGAAACGAUUAAUACGCCUUUUAGUUGAGCUCGCUUCUUGAUUAUGCUAGUUGGUGUGGUAAGAGCGCACCAAGGCGACGAUCAGUAGCUGGUCUGAGAGGAUGACCAGCCACACUGGGACUGAGACACGGCCCAGACUCCUACGGGAGGCAGCAGUGGGGAAUUUUCCGCAAUGGGCGAAAGCCUGACGGAGCAAUACCGCGUGAGGGAGGAAGGCUCUUGGGUUGUAAACCUCUUUUCUCAGGGAAUAAGAAAGUGAAGGUACCUGAGGAAUCAGCAUCGGCUAACUCCGUGCCACCAGCCGCGGUAAUACGGAGGAUGCAAGCGUUAUCCGGAAUGAUUGGGCGUAAAGCGUCCGCAGGUGGUUGCUCAAGUCUGCUGUCAAAGAGUCUGGCUCAACCAGAUAAAGGCAGUGGAAACUGAGAGCUAGAGUGCGGUAGGGGCAGAGGGAUUCCUGGUGUACGGUGAAAUGCGUAGAGAUCAUGAAGAAUCCGGUGCGAAGUCCUCUGUGGACCGAACUGAACUGAGGACUAAACUAGGGACUAAGGGAUUAAUACCCAGUAGCA